AUUUGGGGGAAUGAAGUGAUAUAUUAAUCUAUAUAUAUAUACGCAUCGACUCUGUCGUGUAAAGUUCUAAAUAGAAGAUUGAUGAUGACAGACUUCUAUUUAUGUGUCUCGACCAAUUCUUGUGCCAGCAGUCGCGGCAACACAAGUGAGACUAGUGUUAUUCAUCUUUACUAGGUUUAAAGGGUACCUAGACGGUAUUUACAGCCUGUUUAAGGUACAUAGAUACNAGAGUUUUUUCGGAGAGGUAAAUAUUAGGACCACUGGUGUAGGGAUAGAAUUUUUUAAUACUGGUGGGACGGGUAAUGGCGAAGGCAAUCCUCUAUGUAGAAACUGACGUUAAGGGACGAAGGCGUGGGGAGCAAAUAGGAUUAGAUACCCUAGUAGUCCAGGCAGAAAAUUAUGAAUGUUAUAUGCUAUGGAAAUAUUAGUGUAUAAAUGAAAGUGUAAGCAUUCCACCUCAAGAGUAAUGUGGCAACACAGGAACUGAAAUCAU
rnacentral:rRNA from 1 species